AACGCUGGCGGCGUGCUUAAUACAUGCAAGUCGAACGAAGCCCCUUUUCUUCGGACGAGGGUGUCUUAGUGGCGAACGGGUGAGUAACGCGUUGGUAACCUGCCCCAAAGUGGGGGAUAACAGUUCGAAAGGACUGCUAAUACCCCAUGUGAUCAUCAGGAUUAGAUGCUUGAUGAUGAAAGGAGUAAUCCGCUUUGGGAGGGGCCUGCGUCCCAUCAGCUAGUUGGUAGGGUAAUGGCCUACCAAGGCUUUGACGGGUAGGGGACCUGAGAGGGUGGCCCCCCACACUGGCACUGAAACACGGGCCAGACACCUACGGGUGGCAGCAGUAGGGAAUAUUGGACAAUGGGCGAAAGCCUGAUCCAGCAACGCCGCGUGCGCGAUGACGGCCUUCGGGUUGUAAAGCGCUUUUAGGGGAGAUGAGAAAGGACAGUAUCCCCUGAAUAAGCCUCGGCGAACUACGUGCCAGCAGCCGCGGUAAAACGUAGGAGGCAAGCGUUAUCCGGAUUUAUUGGGCGUAAAGCGCGUGCAGGCGGCUUGGUAAGUUGGAUGUGAAAGCUCCUGGCUUAACUAGGAGAGGUCGUUCAAUACUAUCAAGCUAGAGAAUGGGAGAGGGAAGUGGAAUUCCGGGUGUAGUGGUGAAAUGCGUAGAUAUCCGGAGGAACACCAGUGGCGAAAGCGGCUUCCUGGACCAUUUCUGACGCUAAGACGCGAAAGCUAGGGGAGCAAACGGGAUUAGAGACCCCGGUAGUCCUAGCUGUAAACGAUGUAGACUUGGCGUUGGCGGAGUUAAAUCUGCCAGUGCCGGAGCUAACGCGUUAARUCUACCGCCUGGGGACUACGACCGCAAGG
rnacentral:rRNA from 1 species